rnacentral:rRNA from 1 species
AUUGAACGCUGGCGGCAGGCUUAACACAUGCAAGUCGAACGAGUGGCGGACGGGUUAGUAAUGCUUUGGAAUCUAGCUUAUGGAGGGGGAUCACUACUGGAAACUGUAGCUAAUACCGCCUACCAUAGGAUGAGCCCAAGUGGGAUUAGGUAGUUUGUGGGGUAAAGGCUCACCAAGCCGCCGAUCCCUAGCUGGUCGGAGAGGAUGACCAGCAACACUGGGUGUGGGAGACGGAAAAGACUAGUAAGGAAGGAAGCAGUGGGGAAUAUUGGACAAUGGGGGCUAGGAUGGUGGAGGCAUGCGGGGAGUAUGAAGAAGGCUUUAGGGUUGUAAAGGACUUUCAGCGGGGAGGCGUUAUCGGCAGAAGAAGCACCGGCUAACUACGUGCAAGAAGACGAGGUAAUUC